rnacentral:tRNA from 1 species
UCCGCCUUAGCUCAGUGGUUAGAGCACUGGUCUUGUAAACCAGGGGUCGUGAGUUCAAUCCUCACUGGUGGCU